UCCACUCCUCUUUUCAGUCGUCACGUCGUCGUCUACACUCAGCAGCUACUUAACAGCAAGUUGAGAUUUUUCUGGAUCAAGUUUCCCAUAGAUUGACUGUAUAGAAAUUAAAACACCAGAGCUUCCAGUAAACGACAGGACAGAACUAGCAGCUACAUAGUCGUGCCAGGUGUCUGGAGGUGGAACACUGAGCCAAAUUCAACCUUAUUGUUCAAAAGGAAAACUCUGACAGCUUUCAAAAUGUAAUGAACAUUACUUUGAGUACCAAGUAACAGUAGUUUUGUAGUAAACGCAGUAACAACCCUCUGUUUCUUUUCCUUUUCUCUCUGUAAUUAUUAUCAUAUCAUUCCAGAAUGCGUCCAAACCAAAGCUUUUGGAGGAGGUAGAGCAACACCUGGGAGCAGCUGACCAAUCAGGAAGCAAGCUUCAGCUCAUAGAAGUUCAACCUUUGCCUGCAGGAACCACGACAGCUAGGCACUCCCAUCCAGUUUAAGACCAGCAAGAGAGUCAGCAGCUGCAUCCUCUUCCUCCUCUUCAUCAUCUUCCUCCUCAUCAUCCUCCUCCUCUUCAUCAUUAUCUUCAUCCUCCUCCUCCUCAUCGUCAUCUUCUCCAUCCUCGUAUUGUUGGGCUCCUCCACCAGAUGCCAAGUUCUUCCAGUAGGAGUCGUACCCAGAG